rnacentral:rRNA from 1 species
CCCACCAAGCCUAAGACGGGUAGCUGGUCUGAGAGGAUGAUCAGCCACACUGGAACUGAGACACGGUCCAGACUCCUACGGGAGGCAGCAGUGGGGAAUCUUGCGCAAUGGACGAAAGUCUGACGCAGCGACGCCGCGUGGGUGAUGAAGGCCUUCGGGUUGUAAAGCCCUGUGGGGAGGGACGAAUAAGUUCCAGCUAAUACCUGGAGCGAUGACGGUACCUCCUUAGCAAGCACCGGCUAACUCUGUGCCAGCAGCCGCGGUAAGACAGAGGGUGCAAACGUUGUUCGGAAUUACUGGGCGUAAAGCGCGUGUAGGCGGCCAUACAAGUCGGAUGUGAAAGCCCUCGGCUCAACCGGGGAAGUGCACUCGAAACUGCAAGGCUAGAGUCUCGGAGAGGAUCGUGGAAUUCUCGGUGUAGAGGUGAAAUUCGUAGAUAUCGAGAGGAACACCGGUGGCGAAGGCGGCGAUCUGGACGAUGACUGACGCUGAGACGCGAAAGCGUGGGGAGCAAACAGGAU